AUGAUGAUACAUUAAGUGAUGGUCAGUUGUCGGUACCACUACAAUUAAUGGGUUUCUUUUUGGUCUUGAAAACCAGCAAAGCAUCUCGACACAAGGGAACAGAUAAAGUUGAAGCGCGGAGGGCAAGCGACAGUGUUCCGUUUCCCGGGAUUGGUGGGUGACCGGAAUCUGCCUGCUCCACCUCCUUCCAGGGCACGGCGAUAAAGUGAUUGGUGGGAACAUGCUCCUCGAGAAGUACGGUUGAAACGGUGGUGAGAUAUACAAUCAUUGUAUAAACAGAUGGCAGGAGAAAUGCACGUACAUCUUCUAGUGCCAGACAGGUAUAUAUGCUUCAUUCACCAUGGUGGCUGCUGCUGCAAGAUUGAUGUCCAGGUGUUAUAUGCUUCACCAUGGUGCCUACAGCUAUAAAGACUAAUGUCCAGGGUUUUGGAUUCUCCAAUUUUCCAUCAUGAUCGGGUGGUUGACUCAGAUAACCAGAUGCCCUCCAUUGUGGUACAGAAGGAUUGGAAAUCCUGCCUUCCACUAAGUCUUGUCACAAUCUCAAAGUCACCAGGCCUGCACGAACCUCGAAGCAUGAUGGAUGUUGAUCAUGUAUCAGUAUCAGGAUGGACAUGCUGGAGGACCCUAACUCAGUGACAAAAGCCAUCUUCAAGCUGCUUGGUUUAGGACCUGGCGGUCUUGCUAUAGUCUGCACUCAUUGGCUGAAACCCCCUAACUGUUGAUGGAUUGUUGCAGACUGAUAUAUAAUAGCUUGGAAGAUUGGCUUCUUCUCUGUGAUGUACCUCCUUCAAAACAACAAGUUUCAGGUUUGUCUCCUCUUUUGGUUCCUGUCUCAGCGGCGAUGGAAAACGAACGAUCUUGAUGAACAUGCAUCACGUAGUGCACUGUGUGGUUUGUAAUGAUGUGGUCUCUCGUAGGUUUGAUGUGAUGAGAUUGAGAUUUAUCGGACUUUUGAGAGGCCAUAUAUCAUAUUUAUUAUAAAAGUAAAAUGUAUUACGUAUUA